rnacentral:rRNA from 1 species
CUGGCGGCGUGCUUCAUACAUGCAAGUCGAACGAGAAUCUCACUUCGGUGAGAGGAAAGUGGCGGACGGGUGAGUAAUGUGUAGAGAAUCUGCCCUAGAGUGAGGGACAACAGAGGGAAACUUCUGCUAAUACCUCAUAUGCGCGUAGCUGAGAUGCUAUUCGUGAAAACUCCGGUGCUCUGGGAUGAGUCUGCAUCUGAUUAGCUAGUUGGGGGUGUAAUGGACCACCAAGGCGACGAUCAGUAGCUGGUUUGAGAGGAUGAUCAGCCACAAUGGGACUGAGACACGGCCCAUACUCCUACGGGAGGCAGCAGUAGGGAAUUUUGCGCAAUGGGGGGAAAAACCCCCUGACGCAGCAACGCCGCGUGAACGAAAAAGCCCUUCGGGGUGUAAAGUUCUGUCAGUGGGGACGAAACUUGACGGUACCCACAGAGGAAGCAUCGGCUAACUCCGUGCCAGCAGCAGC